rnacentral:rRNA from 1 species
CGCGCGAUACAGGGUGACAGCCCCGUACACAAAAGCGCAUGUGCUGUGAGCUCGAUGAGUAGGGCGGGACACGUGGUAUCCUGUCUGAAUAUGGGGGGACCAUCCUCCAAGGCUAAAUACUCCUGACUGACCGAUAGUGAACCAGUACCGUGAGGGAAAGGCGAAAAGAACCCCGGCGAGGGGAGUGAAAAAGAACCUGAAACCGUGUACGUACAAGCAGUGGGAGCCCCACCACCAAAGCAUUCUCUGGUGUUGAAGGCCCUGCAAAGCAGCAUCGCGGUGGCGGAGCGUCGUUUGCGACGCCCAACACACAAAACAAGCGGUGAGUGCUUUGGGGUGGGGUGACUGCGUACCUUUUGUAUAAUGGGUCAGCGACUUAUAUUCUGUAGCAAGGUUAACCGAAUAGGGGAGCCGGAGGGAAACCGAGUCUUAAUUGGGCGUUAAGUUGCAGGGUAUAGACCCGAAACCCGGUGAUCUAGCCAUGGGCAGGUUGAAGGUUGGGUAACACUAACUGGAGGACCGAACCGACUAAUGUUGAAAAAUUAGCGGAUGACCUGUGGCUGGGGGUGAAAGGCCAAUCAAACCGGGAGAUAGCUGGUUCUCCCCGAAAGCUAUUUAGGUAGCGCCUCGUGAAUUCAUCUCCGGGGGUAGAGCACUGUUUCGGCUAGGGGGCCAUCCCGGCUUACCAACCCGAUGCAAACUGCGAAUACCGGAGAAUGUUAUCACGGGAGACACACGGCGGGUGCUAACGUCCGUCGUGAAGAGGGAAACAACCCAGACCGCCAGCUAAGGUCCCAAAGUCAUGGUUAAGUGGGAAACGAUGUGGGAAGGCCCAGACAGCCAGGAUGUUGGCUUAGAAGCAGCCAUCAUUUAAAGAAAGCGUAAUAGCUCACUGGUCGAGUCGGCCUGCGCGGAAGAUGUAACGGGGCUAAACCAU